GACGAACGCUGGCGGCGUGCCUAAUACAUGCAAGUUGAGCGAUGAAGCUUGGUGCUUGCCCCAAUUUGAAGAGCAGCGAACGGGUGAGUAACGCGUGGGUAAUCUGCCUUUGAGCGGGGGACAACAUUUGGAAACGAAUGCUAAUACCGCAUAACAACUUUAAACAUAAGUUUUAAGUUUGAAAGAUGCAAUUGCAUCACUCAAAGAUGAUCCCGCGUUGUAUUAGCUAGUUGGUGAGGUAAGGCUCACCAAGGCGAUGAUACAUAGCCGACCUGAGAGGGUGAUCGGCCACAUUGGGACUGAGACACGGCCCAAACUCCUACGGGAGGCAGCAGGAGGGAAUCUUCGGCAAUGGACGAAAGGCUGAACGAGCAACGCCGCGGGAGGGAAGAAGGGUUUCGGAUCGUAAAAAUCGGUUGGUAGAGAAGAACGUUGGUGAGAGUGGAAAGCUCAUCAAGUGACGGUAACUACCCAGAAAGGGACGGCUAACUACGUG
rnacentral:rRNA from 1 species